GUCGGUGCGCAAUGGUUGCGAACCGGAUUCCAAACCCGCGUUCCGAGGGUUCGAUUCCUUCCACCGAUG
rnacentral:tRNA from 1 species